GGUUUAUUUUUCCCGGAACUCAAGUGGGAAGUUAUAGGCUUCUCUUCCCAGAGUAAAGAUGUCCGCAGAGCGCCUGAUUUCUGGGUAAACGAAGGUCCAAAGAAGUGCGCAAAGGUGUUUGCGUCCUGCCUGUGGAUGGCGCUCUUUCGGGGGCGGGCCGAACUGAUCCAUCCGUGAAUGGUGGAGCACUAGUGUCCGCCCCCAAUAUAGCCCAAUCAAAAGGGAGGAACGCUGAGCACUAAGUAGCUAUUGGUUGGCCUCGGGGCCAGUCGGAAGAGCCAUGAUUUGGCGGGAGCCUUGACCGCCGCGGGGGCUUAGUGUGUCCGGGUGAGCGAGCUCCGGGUGUCCCGUCUCCGUGGCCAUGUUCGUGUCCGAUUUCCGCAGGGAGUUCUACGAGGAGGUGCAGAGCCAGAGGGUCCUUCUCUUCGUGGCCUCGGACGUGGACGCCCUGUGCGCCUGCAAGGUCCUUCAGGCCCUGUUCCAGUGUGACCACGUGCAGUACACUCUGGUUCCAGUUUCUGGGUGGCAAGAACUUGAAACUGCAUUUCUUGAGCAUAAAGAACAGGUAUGAAAGAUGCACUAUA